rnacentral:rRNA from 1 species
CGCGGUGACACGUAGGCACCAAGCGUUGUCCGGAUUUAUUGGGCGUAAAGAGCUCGUAGGCGGUUCAGUAAGUCGGGUGUGAAAACUCAGGGCUUAACCCUGAGCUACCACCCGAUACUGCUGUGACUUGAGUCUGGUAGGGGAGUGGGGAAUUCCUGGUGUAGCGGUGAAAUGCGCAGAUAUCAGGAGGAACACCGGUGGCGAAGGCGCCACUCUGGGCCACGACUGACGCUGAGGAGCGAAAGCAUGGGUAGCAAACAGG